AUUGAACGCUGGCGGCAGGCCUAACACAUGCAAGUCGAACGAGUGGCGGACGGGUGCGUAAUGUCUGGGAAACUGCCUGAUGGAGGGGGAUAACUACUGGAAACGGUAGCUAAUACCGCAUACCAUCGGAUGUGCCCAGAUGGGAUUAGCUAGUAGGUGGGGUAAAGGCUCACCUAGGCGACGAUCCCUAGCUGGUCUGAGAGGAUGACCAGCCACACUGGAACUGAUACACGGGCCAGACGCCUACGGGAGGCAGCAGUGUGGAAUAGUGCACAAUGGGCGCAAGUCUGAUGCAGCCAUGCCGCGUGUAUGAAGAAGGCCUUCGGGUUGUAAAGUACUGUCAGCGGGGAUGCGUUACCCGCAGAAGAAGCACCGGCUAACUCCGUGCCAGCAGCCGCGGUAAUUC
rnacentral:rRNA from 1 species